GGGGUCAGGCGAGCAGUCGCUCUCACAGAAGUAAUAUUGUGAGGGAGGAAAGUCCGGGCUCCACAGGGCAGGGCAGUCCAUAAUAAGGACCUUUCUACCAGUGAUUGGUGGGAAGCUAUGGUGCUACAGAAACUAUACCGCCCCGCACCUACUUUUGUGGGAUAAGUAGCAAUAGAGGGGAAAGCCAUCUUACAAAAGUAGGUGCGAGGGCAAGGGUGAAAAGGUGGGGUAAGAGCCCACCGUCUCAAACCGUGAGGUUUGGGUGCAUGGCAUCAGUGCCCGGAGAAAGACCAAGUAGAAGCGCGAGUCCUUGAAAAAGGGCUAAAGUCGGUCCCGGCUGAUGCGCCAGGGUGGGUCGCAGGAUUUAUCCCGAAAGGGAUAAACGAGAUUGAUGACUGCAUAGAACAAAACCCGGCUUACUGCCUGCCCCUUAUU
rnacentral:RNase_P_RNA from 2 species